CCUUGCCUUCCACCAUGAUUGUGAGGCCUCCCCAGCCAUGUGGAAAUCAUGUUCCAGAAGGCCAGGGCGGUCGGUUCUGCUGCACAAAUGAGGUCAGAGCAAUCAAGAGAGCCAAGGAAGUCCUACUUAUCUGGAUUAAAUAACUCAAUCUACAAACUACUCAACUUUAAUAUAAGGUGGAAAAUAGGAUUUCAAAAGAAAAGAAGAAGGAGAAGAACAAGGACAAGAAACUGAGUUUUGGCAGAAGUCAUCCAGGGACCAGGACUAAAGGAGACUGCUGACUUGCAUACACAUCUUCCAAGAACACACUGGGCAUCAACAUCCAACAAGCGAAAAAAGGAAGGAGCAUGUAGGAUGCCAUGGACCUGGUCUAAAAAUGACACACAGUACUUUCUCUAAUAUUCCACUGGCUGGAUUUCAUCUUAAUGGGUAUACCUAACUGCAGGGAAUUCAUACCUAACUGCAGCGAAUUCAUACCUAACUGCAAGGAAUUCAUACCUAACUGCAAGAAGUCAGAGAGAAGCAUAUGACACGUUCAGAAGAAAGGAACUGCCAUAUUGUGGACAAGGUCACAUGGCAGGGAAUGGUGGGCAGCCUCUAGAAGCUAAGAGCAACCCCCAGCUGACAGCCAGCAAGACAUCAGAGACUUCAGUCCUACUGCCCCAGAAACUGAAUUCUGCCAACAACCUGGACGAGCCUGGACAGAAACCUGAGCCCAGAGUGAGAAAUGCAGCCCCAGCCAACACCUGGAUUUCAGCCUGAUGAGACCCUGAGGAGAGAAUCCAGUCAUGUUGCAUCUGGAAUUCUGACCUAGAGAACUGUGAGUUUGUAAAUUUGUGUUGUUUUAAGUUGCUAAGUUUGUGAAAAUUUGUGAUGCAGCAAUAGAAAACUGAUAUCCUGUGCCUGGCGUGGUGGGUCAUGCCUGUAAUCCCAGCACUUUGUGGGGCUGAGGCGGGCAGAUCACAAGGUCAGACGUUCGAGACCAGCCUGGCCAACAUGGCGAAACCUCAUCUCUACUAAAAAUACAAAAAUUAGCCGGGCAUGGUGGCACGCACCUGUAAUCCCAACUACUCAGGAGGCUGAGGCAGGAGAAUCAAUUGAACCUGGGAGGCAGAGGUUGCAGUGAGCCGAGAUUGUGCCACCAUACUCCAUCCUGGGUGACAGAGUGAGACUCCGUCUCAAAAAAAACAAAAACAAACAAACAAAAAAAACUGAUAUCCUGUCCUAUAGUAGGCAUUUAAUAAAUAUAUGUGGAAUGAAUGAAUGAAUGAAUGAAAGAAAUUUUGAUAUGUUACAUGGUAAAGGUAAGAUAAUUAUAAGAAAGGCAAAAUAUGAAACUAUACUUGUGAUUUUAGAACUAAGUUCUGGAUAGUUUUAAUAACCACAUAUCUUGUAUUAUUUAUAUACAUUCAUGUGACAUUAAUAUAUCAUCUUUAAAUAAAAAAUACUAAAAUAAAAAACAAUACAUGAAAAAAAAAAAAAAAAAA
rnacentral:lncRNA from 1 species